rnacentral:rRNA from 1 species
GACGAACGCUGGCGGCGUGCCUAAUACAUGCAAGUCGAACGAAGAGCGGAGGAGCUUGCUUUCCAUCAAUCUGAGGCGCACGGGGGAGUGACACGUGGAUUCAAUCCCUCCUAGAGAGGGGUAACAAAGGUAGACACGAGCGAUUACACCAUAAAAGUUCCAAUCACGUGAUCGGGACUGGAAAAAAGGUGUUGCUUAUUUAUAAGCUAGCACUGAAGGUGGGUAUUGCGUAUGAUUAGUUAGUUGGGGCGGUAACGGCCCACCAAGGCGAUGCUCAGUAGCCGGUCUGAGAGGGUGAACGGCCACAAUGGGACUGAGACACGGCCCAGACUCCUACGGGAGGCAGCAGUGGGGAAUCUUCCGCAAUGGGGGAAAGUCUGACGGAGCAACGCCGCGUGAGUGAAGAAGGUCUUCGGGUUGUAAAGCUCUGUUAAUCGGGACGAAUGGUUCUUGUGCGAAAAGGGCGAGGAUUUGACGGUACCUGAAUAGAAAGCCACGGCUAACUACGUG